UACGUAGGUGGCGAACGUUAUCCGGAGUGACUGGGUGUAAAGGGUCCGUAGGCGGGAGGACAAGUCUGACGUGAAAGCGCCCGGCUCAACUGGGCGAGUGCGUUGGAAACUGUUUUUCUUGAAUCACGCAGAGGUCGGCGGAAUUCCCGGUGUAGUGGUGGAAUGCGUAGAGAUCGGGAGGAACCUCGAAAGCGAAGGCAGCCGACUGGGGGAUGAUUGACGCUGAGGGACGAAAGCGUGGGGAGCGAACAGG
rnacentral:rRNA from 1 species